AGCGAACGCUGGCGGCAGGCCUAACACAUGCAAGUCGAACGAACCCUUUGGGGUUAGUGGCGGACGGGUGAUGAACACGUGGGAACGUACCCUUAGGUUCGGAACAACACAGGGAAACGUGUGCUAAUACCGAAUGUGCCCUUUGGGGGAAAGAUUUAUCGCCUUUGGAGCGGCCCGCGUCUGAUUAGCUAGUUGGUGAGGUAAAGGCUCACCAAGGCUUCGAUCAGUAGCUGGUCUGAGAGGAUGAUCAGCCACACUGGGACUGAGACACGGCCCAGACUCCUACGGGAUGCAGCAGUGGGGAAUCUUGCGCAAUGGGCGAAAGCCUGAAGCAGCCAUGCCGCGUGGAUGAUGAAGGUCUUAGGAUUGUAAAAUCCUUUCACCGGUGAAGAUAAUGACUGUAGCCGGAGAAGAAGCCCCGGCUAACUUCGUGCCAGCAGCCGCGGUAAAAC
rnacentral:rRNA from 1 species